rnacentral:rRNA from 1 species
UACGUAGGGUGCAAGCGUUGUCCGGAAUUAUUGGGCGUAAAGAGCUCGUAGGCGGUCUGUUGCGUCCGCUGUGAAAACUCGGGGCUUAACCCCGAGCCUGCAGUGGAUACGGGCAGACUAGAGGUAGGUGGGGGAGAAUGGAAUUCCCGGUGUAGCGGUGAAAUGCGCAGAUAUCGGGAGGAACACCGGUGGCGAAGGCGGUUCUCUGGGCCUUACCUGACGCUGAGGAGCGAAAGCGUGGGGAGCGAACAGG